rnacentral:rRNA from 1 species
AUUGAACGCUGGCGGCAGGCCUAACACAUGCAAGUCGAGCGGAUGAAGGGAGCUUGCGCCUGGAUUCAGCGGCGGACGGGUGAGUAAUGCCUAGGAAUCUGCCUGGUAGUGGGGGAUGACGUCCGGAAAAGGGCGCUAAUACCACCUACGUCCUGAUGGAGCAAGUGGGGGAUCUUCGGACAUCACGCUAUCAGGUGAGCCUAGGUCGGAUUGGCUAGCUGGUGGGGUAGAGGCCUACCAAGGCGACGAUCCGUAACUGGUCUGAGAGGAUGAUCAGCCGCACUGGAGGUUGGACGGGGUCCUGAGGCCUGCGGUAGGCCGCAGGCGGGAAUGUUGGGCAAUGGGGGGAAGCCUGACACAGCCGGGGCGAGUGUGUGGAGAAGGUCUUGCGAUGGGAAAGCACGUUUAGGUGGGAGAAAGGGCAGUAGGUUAAUACCUUGCGGUAUUGACGUUACCGACAGAAUAAGCACCGGCUAACUUCGUG